GAUGAACGCUGGCGUCGUGCCUUAUACAUGCAAGUCGUGCUCACAGACGAGCAACUUGCUCCUCUGACGUUAGCGGCUGACGUUUUAGUAACACGUGCAUAACCUACCUAUAAGACUGUGAUCACUUCCGUAAAGCGGUGCUAUUACCGGAUAAUGUCUUGAACCGCAUCGUUCAAUAGUGAAAGCCGGCUUUUCUGUCACUUAUAGCUUGAUCCGCGUUGCAUUGGCUAUUUGGUCACGUACCGGCUUACCAAGGCAACGAUGCGUAGACGACCUCAGAGGGUGAUCGGCCACACUGGAAAUGAGAGACGGUCCAGAAGCCUAAGGGAGGGAGCAGUAGGGAAUAGUAGGCAAUGGGCGAAAGCUUGACGGAGCAACGCCGGGUGAGUGAUGAAGGUCUUCGGAUCGUAAAACUCUGUUAUUAGGGAAGAACAAAUGUGUAAGUAACUAUGCACGUCUUGACGGUAACUAAUCAGAAAGCCACGGCUAACUACGUG
rnacentral:rRNA from 1 species